rnacentral:rRNA from 1 species
UGGGGAAUUUUGGACAAUGGGCGCAAGCCUGAUCCAGCCAUGCCGCGUGCGGGAAGAAGGCCUUCGGGUUGUAAACCGCUUUUGUCAGGGAAGAAAUCCUUUGAGCUAAUACCUCGGGGGGAUGAUGGUACCUGAAGAAUAAGCACCGGCUAACUACGUGCCAGCAGCCGCGGUAAUACGUAGGGUGCAAGCGUUAAUCGGAAUUACUGGGCGUAAAGCGUGCGCAGGCGGUUUUGUAAGUCUGAUGUGAAAUCCCCGGGCUCAACCUGGGAACUGCGUUUGUGACUGCAUAACUAGAGUACGGCAGAGGGAGGUGGAAUUCCGCGUGUAGCAGUGAAAUGCGUAGAUAUGCGGAGGAACACCGAUGGCGAAGGCAAUCCCCUGGACCUGUACUGACGCUCAUGCACGAAAGCGUGGGGAGCAAACA